rnacentral:lncRNA from 1 species
AAGUUCACUUUCGACUCUAUCUUUCGAUUAUUUUAUUUUUUGUGUAUUUUUUCUUACAUGACAUGGCCGCAUAGAUUGAAUCGUCAAGACUUGACUUUUGAGUUCUACUUGUACUGGAAACUCAGAGAAUGAAUUGGGAGAUGGAGGGGUUAUCAUUCAAAUAAUCCAGGCUGACAAGCUGUUAUGCCGUUAGGGCUAAUACAUAAUCAAGGUUUACAGAAAGGUUUAAUUCAGGGAUUCGGGAAUUAUUGAAGUAGUGCUAGGGAAUAUGAUCUGUUAGACAAAAUACCUCUUAGGCAAUGAAGACAAUAGAUUGUAGUUGAAAAUGUAUCAGUGUAAUCUUGCUUUUCCUAAUCAUAAAACUUUCGCCACAAGUAGCUAUGUUUUUAGAUGUAUCAGUAUGAUAUGCACGCCAAUUCAAAUGGCAAACGUUUUAUAAUGUUUUGUGCUCACUGGUUUUUCCCAGAAUUCGUUUGUCCUUGCUAGAAAACUUACUUGUCCAGGGCCUUUUCCCUGUAAUCCGUUCAGGGCCUUUUCCCUGUAAUCCUUCAGUGAAUAGUAUAUCCUGUAUCCCAAUCCCUUCAUUCUUUGUAUCACCAAAGGGGCCGGUGAAAUUGCAAAUAUAUGGACUUCACCACAGGAAGGAUCUCUGGUGUCAUCUUCAAAGGAAAUUGUAUCACGUGACAAAAGGGAGCAUUCAAAGCUAUACUUCUGGAGAAGUAGAUUAGAGGGAAAACAAUAAUGCAUUUGCUCCUUUUCUUCUCACUCACUUUUCCUAAAUGUAUGUUGCUACUAUUAUGGCAGG